GUGAAACCACAUCAAAAACAGUGGAUGAUGAAGAAGAACCAAAUCUGAUAGAAACAGGUGUGGAAAAAGAAGCAAAAGUAAAAGACACAGAAGGUUUGGCAAUAGAACCCAACCCAGGUCCUGUAAACUUGAGAAGGUCAGAAAGAACUUUUAGAAAACCAAAAUGGACUGAAGAUUAUCAGUGUAAUCAGCUAACAGCUAGGGACAAAGCAGAUAGACUUAAAGCAUUAAGCACAUUAUUUAAUUCAGGUGUUUUGGAAGACAUGAGUAGUGAUAUUGCCCACCAACUUGUUAGCUCAAUCUGGACUUGAAUAUUUUAUUUAUUCUGUGUGUUACAGAUUUUAAUAUUAAUUAGAUGUGCUGUAAAAUACUAUGGUUUCUUUUUCAGGUUAUAAAUCUGCUAAAUUGCAGAGCAAUUUUAAAACCCGGGGAGAGGAAGAGUGUAAAGAGUGAUACUUAUCUAUGUUAUAUUAUAUAGAUAUUAAAUGAACUGUUUCCAUUUUCUCUUUUAGAGAAUGUAGAAACUAAUGAAAUACUGAUAGUCUGUAAUGUUUGUCGAAUUUCUCUUUAAGAGAAAGAAUACAGAGAUGUCACAGUAAGGUUUACCUUGUUUUGAAUUACUUAAUUGAAUGUUGUUCAUUUUGUACAUAUUUAUUCCAGGAGAAUCAACUUUGAUUCGGUUGAAUUGUAAUUUUUCCCUGGUUUGAAGGCGAUUUGUUUAAUUGGGUUUGUUUGACAUCUUAAUGUGGUUCAGUUUACUAAGGUGGAGUUAUUCCCCUUGUCGUUAGUUUUUAGUUAGUGAGGAAAGUUGUUUGGUCAGAAAAUGACAGGUGUCAUUUUGUAAAAAGCAGGGAAGAAUGUAGCAGGGUCAGUUUUGGGAGUCUAGUACUGUUUUCCUCUUUCCGUUGUUUUUAGUAUCCUUCCUGUAAUUAUCCUUGCUCCUUGUUGGUAUUGAAAGUUUAAGCUGCUUGAGUUACUUCCCUUUGAUCAGUAGCCUGGAACAAGCGGGUUUUUCAGAUAGUUAUCAGGGAGUCAUUGCUGAGAGCAAUAUAUAUAAUUUUAUGAAGUUUCUAGGUCUCAUAGAAAUUAUAAGCAUUCACAGCAGCACCCACAGAGUGAUCCUGUUUGUAUGUGUGAAGCCAUCAGUCAGUUGUAUGUUUGGUAUUUGGUCCCACAGACCUUAUGCCAUUGUUUUGUCGACUUGGCGAUUAUAUCCCUCAAUUCUGUUGACGUAAUUGUAUACAGAGUAAAGAAUCAUCGCAUAGA
rnacentral:lncRNA from 1 species